CCGUGCUAGACGGGGCGCUAGCGGUGCCUUGUAACCCGGAAUCCGCUACACCGGGGUCGAAGCCCUUUCGAGGCAUGCAGCCCUGUAUGGUGCGGCGCGGCAAGUGGUGUUGACGGCUGGGUCCCAUGCAAUGGGGGGGUGUGAACCAGGUCAGGACCGAGAGGUAGCAGCCUUAAGCAUUCGACCCCAUGUGCCGUGGGGUUGCCUGGCCCGAGCUAACUGCCGCGUUCGGCCACACAGAGCGGUGUCGAAGAAGGGUGCACGG
rnacentral:SRP_RNA from 1 species